rnacentral:lncRNA from 12 species
CAUAAAUUACUCCAAUUAACUUUUAGAAGUAGCCUUUAUUCCCUUUUUGUAGAUUCACAAUUCAAAAUAACAUUAAAUACAGUCUCUGAAAAGUUCUGUACUUUUGAAAUUAACUUAAUGUUGUAUUUCUUAAUGUUUCCUGAUUUUACUAGACCACAGAAUAUCUCCCAACCUCAGCGAGCCUGAAAAGGUGUCAAAGCCAUAAGACUUGUUACUGCCACAAGUGUGGGUUAAUCCACUUAAUGACAGGUUCAAUCAGCAGUUGGUUUCUUGACAUAAACCAUGCUCCAGGAUUAUGUUUGGCUUUGAUAAACAUCCAUAGCUUGUCAGAGCCAAAGUUUGAAGAUCAUCUGUUUUAUAAUUUGAUUCAGUUAAUCUUUUAGUAACUUGACAAGCAGGUGAUAAUUUUUAAAAAUAAACAUUUAUUGGUAAUAUUUCUCUCUCUUUUGUAAAAGAUUUUAUUUAUUUAUUCAUGAGACACACAGAGAGAGAGAGAGGCAGAGACACAGACAGAGGGAGAAUCAGGCUCCUUGCAGGGAGCCCAAUGUGGGGCUCCAUCCCAGGAUCCCGGGAUCACCACCUGAGCCAAAGGCAGUUGCUCAACCACUGAGCCAUGCAGGCGACCCAGGUAAUAUUUUUCUCUUAAGGAAAUUCAUCCAUAUUUAGUUAAUACAAGAACAGGAGAAUCUGCAGGAGCCAGCAGUGUUUCUGUGUAUUCCUAGCAACAAGAAACCAUGACAGAGCAAGGCCUAAAACCAGAGCCUUCUGCAUUUUCUCAUCUGUGAUGACGUACAUUGAUGUUAGACAUUAAUGAGUCUCAAGACAUAAAGAAGAAGUAUUUACCACUGGAAAAUAUGUUCUACACUAAAACAGAGGAAAUCCAGGAAGGCCCAAUUAUUGCAAAUCAUUUUCAAAUGGAGACCAAUAAUAUCCGAAAUGCUGUCUCAGAACAUCUCUUAUUUACUCAUCAAAUCUGGAUGAAAUUAUUUAUUAUAUGCAAGCCACUCUGUUAGGUGCUGGGAAUGCAAAGGACACUACUCUAGAGGGUAGCAAGAAGAUCCUCUAGGGCUCUAGCAAGAAGAUCCCCUAAGGCUCUGGCAAGUC